AACCACAAUUCAGAAAUAUAUAUAUAUAGAUAUGGAUACACGCACAGAGUAUAAGUAACAGGUUUAUCGUUCAUUCUCAAUCCACGAAAUCCUCUCCCCCUCUCUUUCCCCUCCCAUCUAUCUCGGAUCUCAUUCUCUUUUCAUCUUCCUCCAGCCCAUCCUCCUUUCGCAGCAAGGUAUCGAGAGUGUUUCCUCAUCGCUCUCGAUCCCUCAAGCAAGCAUGGAAGGACUUGCGAACCAACUAAAGCGAGGAAUCUCACGUCAGUUUUCGACAGGAUCAUUGAGAAAGUCACUUAGCAGGCAAUUCUCACGACAAUCUUCCCUCGAUCCCAGGAGGAAUAACUUGAGGUUUAGCUUUGGAAGACAGUCUUCUUUGGAUCCAAUACGGAGAAGUCCACUUCAUGAUCAUGCACAGUUGAGUGUACCGGAGAAUCUGGAUUCCACAAUGCAGUUGUUAUUCAUGGCGAGUAGAGGAGACGUUAAAGGAGUUGAAGAUUUGUUGGAUGAAGGUGUUGAUGUUAAUAGUAUCGAUUUGGAUGGAAGAACUGCUCUGCAUAUUGCAGCUUGUGAAGGUCAUGUUGAAGUUGUUAAGCUUCUUUUGAGUCGCAGGGCUAAUAUCGAUGCUCGUGAUCGAUGGGGCAGUACGGUGUGUGCCGAUGCCAAGUAUUAUGGGAAUGUUGAAGUUUUUAACAUUUUGAAGGCAAGAGGAGCUAAAGCCCCGAAAACCACCAGGAAGACACCUAUGGCUGUGGCAAAUCCUCGAGAAAUUCCAGAGUAUGAGCUUAACCCAUUGGAACUUCAAGUUCGAAAAGCUGAUGGCAUUGCAAAGGGAAUGUAUCAAGUUGCUAAAUGGAAUGGUACUAAGGUUGCCGUGAAGAUACUUGAAAAGGAACGUUGUGCAGACCCUGAGAGCAUAAAUUCUUUCAAACAUGAGCUAACCUUAUUAGAAAAAGUUCGACAUCCGAAUUUGAUUCAGUUUGUUGGAGCUGUGACCCAAAAUUUUCCCUUGAUGAUUGUAGCAGAAUAUCAUUCAAAAGGUGACCUAGCAAGUUAUCUUCAGAAGAAAGGGCGGUUUUCCCCAUCUAAAGCUUUGAGACUUGCUCUUGAUAUUGCUAGGGGCAUAAACUACCUACACGAAUGUAAGCCAUAUCCGAUCAUCCAUUGCGAUUUAAAGCCAAGAAAUAUUUUGCUGGAUGAUGGUGGUCUAUUGAAGGUAGCUGGAUUUGGUUUGAUACGGUUGUCAAACAUUUCACCUGACAAAGCCAAAGUAGCUCCAGGGACUAUUAUUGACCAUUCAAAUGUAUACAUGGCACCUGAGAUUUAUAAAGAUGAAAUAUUUGAUAGAAGCGUCGAUGCAUACUCUUUCGGAGUCCUUUUGUAUGAGAUGCUUGAGGGAGUGCAGCCUUUCCAUCCCAAGUCUCCUGGAGAAGCCGUGAAAUUGAUGUGCUUAGAAAACCAGAGACCACCAUUUAAGAUCAAAUCAAGAAGCUACCCUCCAGAUUUAAGAGAGUUGAUUGAUGAAUGUUGGCUUUCAGAACCUGGUGGUCAGACCAACCUUUUCUGAGAUCAUCACAAGACUGGACAAAAUCUGUUCCAACUGUUCAAAACAAGGAUGGUUGAAAGAUACCUUUAAGCUUCCAUGGAAAUGACACGAGGCCUUCAGAUGCGUUCCGAAGAAGGAAAAACAUGGUAGAAGACCGGAGAUUAUCGUCGAAGAAAUCAAGAGUUUCGGAGCUUCAUAUCACACACUGAUAGUCAUACAUUUUCUUUAAUUAGAAUGAAUCUAGGAGACGAAGGCUUGGGGCUUGAAAUGAAAAUGAGUUGCUGCCCCUUGUUCUCAUGCUUCUUUGGAUGCAUAAUAUGCGCUCCUCGCAUGGCUUGAAAUAGAAAUUUUACUUCAUAUUUUUGGUCCACAUAACUCAAUGCUGUGAUUUCUUU